rnacentral:rRNA from 1 species
UACGUAGGGUGCGAGCGUUGUCCGGAAUUAUUGGGCGUAAAGAGCUCGUAGGCGGCUUGUCGCGUCGGAUGUGAAAGCCCGGGGCUUAACUCCGGGUCUGCAUUCGAUACGGGCAGGCUAGAGUUCGGUAGGGGAGAUCGGAAUUCCUGGUGUAGCGGUGAAAUGCGCAGAUAUCUGGAGGAACACCCGUGGCGAAGGCGGAUCUCUGGGCCGAUACUGACGCUGAGGAGCGAAAGCGUGGGGAGCGAACAGG